AUGCAAGUUGACACCCGUUGUCCAAUCUGUUUUCGGUUGGAUGAGGAUGGUGGCUAUUGUUUCAUUAAGUGUAAGAGGGUAAAGGAUGUGUGGAGGAAAGCUCAGUUGGAGCAUGUCAGAUUACAAAUUCUAGAUUGUACUGAUGCACUGAGCUGUAUGGAGAAAAUAUUGAACCUCAAUGAAGAAGAAAAAAAUAAAUCAUGCCUGCUUCUCUGGCGUUGGUGGCAUGAGAGGAAUAGAGCAAAUGCAGGAAAUGAAAUUAAACCUUCUGAUGAAAUAUGUCAUUCUAUUAAUUAUCUUUUUAUGCAAUUUUCUAAGGUAAGGCAAGAAGGGAGAAUUCAAGAGCAACAACAAAAAGAAAGAUGGUCCAGACCUCCACCGAAGAUCUUGAAAAUCAACACUGACGGCGCCUACCUGAAGGAAUCAAAUUCUGGAGGUUGGGGCUUUGUCAUCAGGAACGAUUGUGGUAUGGUAAUAGCAGCUGGUGCAGGAAAUUUGGGGCAAGUUUCGGAUGCGCUUCAUUCGGAGGCAAUGGCAAUGUUGCAUGCCAUAAACGCAGCUAUUCAGAUGGGUUGCCACUGUGUCAUAAUGGAGACUGACUCUGUGCAACUUCAGUCAGCAGUGAACAAUGAAGACUAUGAUCUCUCUACAUUAGGAGCUAUUUUCAAAGAUAUUAAAUUUAAGCUGAGAGUAAGCUUCAAUCAUGUAACUGUUGUGUCUUGUCCUAGAACUUGUAAUGUAGUGGCACACUGUUUAGCAGCGUAUGGUACUAAACUAGGAGCUGGCAUAAGUGAGAUUUGGCUUGAUGAGUGUCCAGACUUUGUAAAUGACGCUGUUGCUGGCGACUUGGUCCAGCAUUGGUUCUUAAUGGAAUGUUUCGUGUUCUCU
rnacentral:rRNA from 1 species